rnacentral:sRNA from 1 species
UGUGCAGAGGUGAGGCAGCUGGGAGGGCCUGGGCAGGAUGGGGGACCCAGGUCCAGGCUUCUGCCCUGCUGCAGUUCCCAGUGGCAUCAGUCACCUCAGAAGGCUGGUGAUCCGAAGGGGCAGCGACUCAGGGUAGCUCAGGCCAUUCCCACAGCACCAGAGAGUUGGUAACGUAGGUCUCAAGGACACCAUUUUACAUGAAGGUUCUCCUGAAGGCAUCAGAAGCCUUGUAGAUAAAACCGUAACUGCUUUUCUAAUACUGGGGGGUGGAUUUUGCACACAAUUGUCUAGAGGGGGAAAACAGAUUGGGGAACCCUGACUUUCAUUUUUUCUAAGUCAAAGGUUUUCAUUGUUACUCCCAGGUGCCUUCGAAACAUCUGCAAGUUUUUAGUCUUGCUCAUCCCACUCUUCCUUUUACUAGGUAAGUCAAAUCUGGCUGAGUUGCCUCCGAUGGCUAAGCGGUACACACAUACGUGUAACUUAGUGGAAACAAAUGAGCGUGUAAGUCCGUGUUUUGAGAAGCGUGGUGUACCCGUGUGUGUGUGGUGGUUCUUCUCUUUUAGCAGGUCUCUCCUUACGGGGCCAGGGCAAUUUCUUUUCGUUCUUGCCCGUGUUGAACUGGGCAAGCAUGCAUAGAACACAGCGGGUGGAUGACCCCCAGGACGUGUUUAAACCCACGACUUCUCGCCUGAAGCAGCCUCUGCAGGUAAGAGGGUAGAAAGGCCUCUCAGCUGGCACUGCACAUGUGAGGUCUUCAGGGACGUUCCACACUGCUGUGAGCCAGGCACUUCAGUUAGGUGUCCUGUUGUAAGAAGUAUUUUUAAAUGUCAGAUAAGCAAGUCUUUGGAGCUCCUUAAGUGUUCUAGGAUAGUUCAAAUGCACAUUUAAAGUACUGUCAUGAUUCAAUUAGUUUUAAUUUUAAAAACAUAAUAGUAUUCAUCACUGUACAAAGUACAGAAAGUAUAGAGAAGAAAAUGAGAAGCACCCAUAGUCAGCCAUGUAAGGAUCAAACCUGAUACUCCGGGUUUCUGUGGAUUCCUCCAUUCGUGUGCCGUGCGCCCCAGAGCUGGUGUCUUGCUGUAGGACACUGUUUGGAGGUUUAACUGACUCUGUGCUCAUGCUUGUUUCACUACCUGGUUUCAUUUCUCUCUUGCCAUUUCAGGGUGACAGUGAGGCUCUUCCAUGGCAUUGGAUGAGUGGCGUGGAGCAGCAGGUGGCCUCUCUGUCUGGACAGUGCCACCACCAUGGCGAGAAUCUCCGAGAGCUGACCGCUUUGCUUCAGAAGCUGCAGGCUCGGGUGGACCAGAUGGACGGCGGCGCUGCCGGGCCGUCAGCAUCGGUCAGAGACGCUGUGGGACAGCCCCCGAGGGAGACUGACUUUAUGGCUUUUCACCAAGAACAUGAAGUGCGUAUCUCACACUUGGAAGAUAUUCUGGGAAAACUGAGAGAAAAAUCUGAGGCCAUCCAGAAGGAACUAGAACAGACCAAGCAAAAAACAAUCAGUGCGGUUGGUGAGCAGCUCCUGCCCACGGUCGAGCACCUCCAGCUGGAGUUGGAUCAGCUAAAGUCAGAGCUGUCCAGCUGGCGACACUUGAAGACCGGCUGUGAGACAGUGGAUGCCGUACAAGAAAGAGUGGACGUGCAAGUCAGAGAAAUGGUGAAACUCCUGUUUUCCGAAGAUCAGCAAGGCGGUUCUCUGGAACAGCUGCUGCAGAGGUUCUCAUCACAGUUUGUGAGCAAAGGCGACUUGCACACGAUGCUGCGAGACCUGCAGCUGCAGAUCCUGCGGAACGUCACCCACCACGUUUCCGUGACCAAGCGGCUCCCAACCUCAGAAGCCGUGGUGUCUGCUGUGAGCGAGGCGGGGGCGUCUGGAAUAACAGAGGCGCAAGCACGUGCCAUCGUGAACAACGCGUUGAAGCUGUAUUCCCAAGAUAAGACCGGGAUGGUGGACUUUGCUCUGGAAUCUGGUGGUGGCAGCAUCUUGAGUACUCGCUGUUCUGAAACUUACGAAACCAAAACGGCGCUGAUGAGUCUGUUUGGGAUCCCGCUGUGGUACUUCUCGCAGUCCCCGCGCGUGGUCAUCCAGCCUGACAUUUACCCCGGUAACUGCUGGGCAUUUAAAGGCUCCCAGGGGUACCUGGUGGUGAGGCUCUCCAUGAUGAUCCACCCAGCCGCCUUCACUCUGGAGCACAUCCCUAAGACGCUGUCGCCAACAGGCAACAUCAGCAGCGCCCCCAAGGACUUCGCCGUCUAUGGAUUAGAAAAUGAGUAUCAGGAAGAAGGGCAGCUUCUGGGACAGUUCACGUAUGAUCAGGAUGGGGAGUCGCUCCAGAUGUUCCAGGCCCUGAAAAGACCCGACGACACAGCUUUCCAAAUAGUGGAACUUCGGAUUUUUUCUAACUGGGGCCAUCCUGAGUAUACCUGUCUGUAUCGGUUCAGAGUUCAUGGCGAACCUGUCAAGUGAAGACACUACUCAUUAUUUUUGUACAUUUUUGUAUAUACUGGGACAGCCUGAAACACUGGAAUCCUUCAUGGACGAGGGCAUAUACAAUGAUGGGACAGUGCCACACUCCUUCAAUAAACGUGGCUGCUGGCCAGAGGACGUGAGCGUGUGAUGGGCGCCUUGGCACCACCUGUUGGGUGCUCACUGCCUCUGCAGGUGCAGAGGGGUCAGCAGCAGGAGAAGCGUGUUGAACACGUGGCUCUCAGACACUCCUUGUUUUUAACGGGAAGCUCUUUGCAUUUGCAUUUCCUCGACAAAGGAGCAAAGCAGAGGAAGCUGAGAGUCUGGCGUGUUCUUGAUGCUUUGGUCUUCAGCCUUGCACUGGCUCUUCUAAAGGACUUUUGGAGGGCAGAUAAUUUCAUCUGUUAAAUCCAACACACAUUUCUUUCAGGGAAAAACAAUGUCACCAAAUUUUCAGAGUUCUAAACUCCUUUCCUUCAAGCCGGGAUUUUCCUUUUUUCAGCACCAGUAGGUACUAAGUCUCCAGACGGGGAAAUAACUAAAAUGUGUUUUUCUGCUUUGUUCGCUCUUACUUCUGAGGAAGGUUUCCAGUCAGGACUCGCUGUACCAAUAUCCGUGGAGGAAUAUGGGAGCGUUUUGCUCUCCUUGUAGGCUGAAGUCAGUCUGACUUGAAGGGGGCUGGUUUGGAUCUAAGCAAACACCCAGAUGGGGUUCUCUGGUCUCAGCAAGGCUUUUCCUGUUGGGAGUCACAGUAAACAGAAACCCAAAAAUCUCAUCUUGGGUGUUUUCAGGGCUCGUUUUGAGUUUUGCUGAAUAAGGAGCGCAAGACGCCCUGAGCCUCCCUCUCACUGGUGGUGAUAAGAGGAGCCGUCUGGUGUGUCAGGGUCACGAACCUGUUACAUUUCAGGACGAUCCUUUUUCCUUCAGCAGCAUUUCUUACUGGCUGUGGCUGGACUCUGCCUUUUAUCACAGCUGUCACCAUUCUCACGUGAUUCUUGUGAGACUCUUUGGUUAUAAUUACUAUUUAAUAUUUAGACUAUUUUACUGAGCAGACUUUAUAAUAAAUGAGAUAUCUACAAGGCACUUAAAGUGUUACAGAUGUUUUACCUUAAGAAUUAUUUAAGUUGUGUUAAGACAGUUUUCAGUGUACCGUAAAUGUUGUGUUUUCAGAAAAAGACAAAACGAUGGUGCUGACUGGUUUUCUGUAUAUUGCACAACAGUCCUCAAAUACACUGAUGUAUGAAACUAUUCAUACAUCAAGCAGCAUUUUUUUCACUCUCCUUAGAAUUGGAACUAUGCAGUUAAGGCAGAUAAAAUGUACAGAUGUUUCAUAUAUUACAGGUUACAUAUAUAAAUCAAAAUUUCCUAUAUAAAACUGAUUUGGGAUUUGGGGUGGAAAUAUUUUGAAUAUUAAUUUAUUUUUAAAGAUGCAAGAUAGGACUUUGUGCAAUGUAUUUUUGUAAAUGCUUUUCAAAAUAUCUGUCUUUGGUAGUGCUUCUUCUGCUGCCACCAAAUUGAUAAGAUGCUAUUAAGAGGUUUAAAUAAAGAGUUUUAAUUUUUAAAAGUG